UCUGACCUACGGGGCGCAGCAGUAGGGCAUCUUCCACAAUGGGCGAAAGCCUGAUGGUGCAACGCCGCGUGGGUGAAGAAGGUCUUCGGAUCGUAAAACCCUGUUGUUAGAGAAGAAAGUGCGUGAGAGUAACUGUUCACGUUUCGACGGUAUCUAACCAGAAAGCCACGGCUAACUACGUGCCAGCAGCCGCGGUAAUACGCAGGUGGCAAGCGUUAUCCGGAUUUAUUGGGCGUAAAGGCAACGCAGGCGGUCUUUUAAGUCUUAUGUGAAAGCCUUCGGCUUAACCGG
rnacentral:rRNA from 1 species